AGAGGGAGCAUCACAGUGUACAAAUCCACUUAAUCCUGUGCCUUAAAGUCCACAAACCGGCUUCAUCUUUUUACAAAAUAAGUGAUAUUUUCCUUAAUUAAAUCCUGCCAAACACAA